UCCCUGACAGUCCAGUGGUUAAGACUCUGACCUUCCAAGGCAGGGACCCUGGGUUCAGUCCCUGGUCAGGGAA
rnacentral:tRNA from 1 species